AUACGAACCGUCCAAACGUUAUUCGGAAUCAUUGGGCUUAAAGGGUGCGUAGGCGGUGCGGUAAGUUGGGUGUGAAAUCCCUCGGCUCAACCGGGGAACUGCGCCCAAUACUGCCGUACUCGAGGGAGACAGAGGUAAGCGGAACUGAUGGUGGAGCGGUGAAAUGCGUAGAUAUUAGAAGGAAUACCAGUGGCGAAGGCGGCCCCCUGGACCAAUACUGACACUGAGGUACGAAAGCGUGGGUAGCGAACAGGAUUAGAUACCCUAGUAGUCC
rnacentral:rRNA from 1 species